AUGACUGUUGCGGGAGAGACCUGGCGCAUUGCCUGGCACCGAAGGAGCAACUCCCAAAAAUCCAUGGGAGAGAAUCUCUCAGGUAAAGUGAACCGCAAUAGGACG
rnacentral:ncRNA from 1 species